GACGAACGCUGGCGGCGUGCCUAAUACAUGCAAGUAGAACGCUGAAGAGAGGAGCUUGCUCUUCUUGGAUGAGUUGCGAACGGGUGAGUAACGCGUAGGUAACCUGCCUUGUAGCGGGGGAUAACUAUUGGAAACGAUAGCUAAUACCGCAUAACAAUGGAUGACACAUGUCAUUUAUUUGAAAGGGGCAAUUGCUCCACUACAAGAUGGACCUGCGUUGUAUUAGCUAGUAGGUGAGGUAACGGCUCACCUAGGCGACGAUACAUAGCCGACCUGAGAGGGUGAUCGGCCACACUGGGACUGAGACACGGCCCAGACUCCUACGGGAGGCAGCAGUAGGGAAUCUUCGGCAAUGGGGGCAACCCUGACCGAGCAACGCCGCGUGAGUGAAGAAGGUUUUCGGAUCGUAAAGCUCUGUUGUAAGUCAAGAACGAGUGUGAGAGUGGAAAGUUCACACUGUGACGGUAGCUUAUCAGAAAGGGACGGCUAACUACGUGCCAGCAGCCGCGGUAAUACGUAGGUCCCGAGCGUUGUCCGGAUUUAUUGGGCGUAAGGCGAGCGCAGGCGGUUUGAUAAGUCUGAAGUUAAAGGCUGUGGCUCAACCAUAGUUCGCUUUGGAAACUGUCAAACUUGAGUGCAGAAGGGGAGAGUGGAAUUCCAUGUGUAGCGGUGAAAUGCGUAGAUAUAUGGAGGAACACCGGUGGCGAAAGCGGCUCUCUGGUCUGUAACUGACGCUGAGGCUCGAAAGCGUGGGGAGCGAACAGGAUUAGAUACCCUGGUAGUCCACGCCGUAAACGAUGAGUGCUAGGUGUUGGAUCCUUUCCGGGAUUCAGUGCCGCAGCUAACGCAUUAAGCACUCCGCCUGGGGAGUACGACCGCAAGGUUGAAACUCAAAGGAAUUGACGGGGGCCCGCACAAGCGGUGGAGCAUGUGGUUUAAUUCGAAGCAACGCGAAGAACCUUACCAGGUCUUGACAUCCCGAUGCUAUUUCUAGAGAUAGAAAGUUACUUCGGUACAUCGGUGACAGGUGGUGCAUGGUUGUCGUCAGCUCGUGUCGUGAGAUGUUGGGUUAAGUCCCGCAACGAGCGCAACCCCUAUUGUUAGUUGCCAUCAUUCAGUUGGGCACUCUAGCGAGACUGCCGGUAAUAAACCGGAGGAAGGUGGGGAUGACGUCAAAUCAUCAUGCCCCUUAUGACCUGGGCUACACACGUGCUACAAUGGUUGGUACAACGAGUUGCGAGUCGGUGACGGCAAGCUAAUCUCUUAAAGCCAAUCUCAGUUCGGAUUGUAGGCUGCAACUCGCCUACAUGAAGUCGGAAUCGCUAGUAAUCGCGGAUCAGCACGCCGCGGUGAAUACGUUCCCGGGCCU
rnacentral:rRNA from 1 species